rnacentral:rRNA from 1 species
AGUGAACGCUGGCGGUAGGCCUAACACAUGCAAGUCGAACGGCAGCACAGUAAGAGCUUGCUCUUACGGGUGGCGAGUGGCGGACGGGUGAGGAAUACAUCGGAAUCUACUUUUUCGUGGGGGAUAACGUAGGGAAACAUACGCUAAUACCGCAUACGACCUACGGGUGAAAGCAGGGGAUCUUCGGACCUUGCGCGAUUGAAUGAGCCGAUGUCGGAUUAGCUAGUUGGCGGGGUAAAGGCCCACCAAGGCGACGAUCCGUAGCUGGUCUGAGAGGAUGAUCAGCCACACUGGAACUGAGACACGGUCCAGACUCCUACGGGAGGCAGCAGUGGGGAAUAUUGGGCAAUGGGCGCAAGCCUGAUCCAGCCAUACCGCGUGGGUGAAGAAGGCCUUCGGGUUGUAAAGCUCUUUUGUUGGGAAAGAAAAGCUGUGGGUUAAUACGCCGCUGUUCUGACGGUACCCAAAGAAUAAGCACCGGCUAACUUCGUG